UACGUAGCAGCGAGCGUUUGUUCGGAAUUACUGGGCGUAAAGAGUGUGUAGGCGGUGUUCCAAGUUCGGUGUGAAAUCUCCCGCUUAACUGGGAGGGUGCGCCGAAAACUGGAAAUGCUCGAGCGUGGGAGAGGAAAGCGGAAUCCUGGUGUAGCGGUGAAAUGCGUAGAUAUCAGGAGGAACACCAGCGGUGUAGACGGCUUUCUGGACCAUUGCUGACGCUGAGACACGAAAGCGUGGGUAGCAAACAGG
rnacentral:rRNA from 1 species